rnacentral:tRNA from 1 species
GGAGGGUUGGCCGAGUGGUUGAAGGCACCGGUCUUGAAAACCGGCAUACUGAGAGGUAUCUAGGGUUCGAAUCCCUAACCCUCCGCCA